rnacentral:rRNA from 1 species
AUACGUAGGGGGCGAGCGUUGUCCGGAUUUACUGGGCGUAAAGGGUGAGUAGGCGGUUAUAUAAGUCAGAUGUAAAAGGCUAUGGCUUAACCAUAGUUAGCAUUUGAAACUGUAUGACUUGAGUGCAGGAGAGGUAAGCGGAAUUCCUAGUGUAGCGGUGAAAUGCGUAGAUAUUAGGAGGAACACCAGUGGCGAAGGCGGCUUACUGGACUGUAACUGACGCUGAGUCACGAAAGCGUGGGUAGCAAACAGGAUUAGAUACCCUGGUAGUCCACGCCGUAAACGAUGAGUGCUAGGUGUUGGGUAGUAAUACUCAGUGCCGAAGUAAACACAAUAAGCACUCCGCCUGGGGAGUACGUACGCAAGUAUGAA